rnacentral:rRNA from 1 species
UACGUAGGGCGCAAGCGUUGUCCGGAAUUAUUGGGCGUAAAGAGCUCGUAGGCGGCUUGUCACGUCGGAUGUGAAAGCCCGGGGCUUAACUCCGGGUCUGCAUUCGAUACGGGCUGGCUAGAGUGUGGUAGGGGAGAUCGGAAUUCCUGGUGUAGCGGUGAAAUGCGCAGAUAUCAGGAGGAACACCGGUGGCGAAGGCGGAUCUCUGGGCCAUUACUGACGCUGAGGAGCGAAAGCGUGGGGAGCGAACAGG